UAAUCCUUGCUCCAUUGCCAACUCGAAGAGAGAUCUUGCCUUCCCUCAGCCCUCUUACUUCUUCAAGACCCUGCAUAGAAGUGCACAAAAAAGUACUUGAACCAGAAUCAAGAGCCCAACUUGAAGAAGAGAAAAUUUUUAGAUUAGUUUCAAUAACGAGCAUAUCAAAUAUACUUUCAGAAGUCCCAUCCUUCUUUCUGCUCUUGACAGUCAUCAGGUAGGUCGGAUAGUUCCUUCUCAGUGGCCUUCGACGUUGCAAUGAAAACACUUUUUCUUGUCGUCAGCCUUCUUCGAAACAUGCUUCUUGGGCUUGGCCUCAUUCUUUUGCUUCUUUGCAGGCUUC
rnacentral:lncRNA from 1 species